CCCAAAAUGAUUAAUUUUUUCUCGCAACAGUUCUAUGUGAAUCAUCCUUUUAACAAUUUCUGGAAAACGGAUCACUUCUUGGAAUACAUUCACGCUUUCCUUUUCUUAAUUGAAAACAUUCUCGUUUCGCAGAACUUUAGCGAACAUUUUUUGGGGUGAUAUAUUUCUUGGCAAAAUGCAAGUUUAGGGUAAUAGAAUGAGAUGGGAUGACAGUUCGAAGUUCAUCGUUCAAUAGAGAUAACAUCUUUAAGAAAUCGAUUCCCAGCGACCUGGAAAACCGGGAAUAAUCUGGAAAUAUCAGGGAAAAUCUGAAAAAGUCCUGGAGAAAUUUCGGUUGUUCAUAAAUUUGAUAUUUGAAUUUUAUUCUUUUUCCUUAGCGAGAGAAAUUGUCGGAAACCGAACGAGUACCGAACGGCUGUGCUGAAUUAUCCCCGGGUGCACUUGGUUCGUCACCUUGUUUUUUCAUUCCUAGACGUAUUAUUUUUGUCAUCAUUUUCACUAUUGUUACGUUGCUCGGGCGAAUAAAAAUUGGCGUGGUGAUUAAUAAUCCCUGUUCCCGACGGUGGCCUCUAUUUAAACCUAUGCGUGCCUCCCGAUGGAUCCAGAACGCCGCUUCGAGAGAUUUCUGGGCCCGCAAUCGAGA